CCUACGGGAGGCAGCAGUGGGGAAUAUUGCACAAUGGGGGAAACCCUGAUGCAGCAACGCCGCGUGAGUGAUGACGGCCUUCGGGUUGUAAAGCUCUGUCUUCAGGGACGAUAAUGACGGUACCUGAGGAGUAACGCAUGGCUAACUACGUGCCAGCAGCCGCGGUAAUACGUAGGUGGCGAGCGUUGUCCGGAUUUACUGGGCGUAAAGGGAGCGGAGGCGGACUUUUAAGUGAGAUGUGAAAUCCUCGGGCUCAACCUGAGUGCUGCAUUUCAAACUGUAAGUCUAGAGUGCAGGAGAGGAGAAUGGAAUUCCUGGUGUAGCGGUGAAAUGCGUAGAGAUUAGGAAGAACACCAGUGGCGAAGGCGAUUCUCUGGAC
rnacentral:rRNA from 1 species